rnacentral:rRNA from 1 species
AUUGAACGCUGGCGGCAGGCUUAACACAUGCAAGUCGAGCGAGCGGCGGACGGGUGAGUAAUGUCUGGGCAACUGCCUGAUGGAGGGGGCUAACUACUGGAAACGGUAGCUAAUACCGCAUACCAUCAGAUGUGCCCUGAUGGGAUUAGCUAGUAGGUGGGGUAAUGGCUCACCGAGGCGACGAUCUCUAGCUGGUCUGAGAGGAUGACCAGACACACUGGAACUGAGACACGGUCCAGACUCCUACGGGAGGCAGCAGUGGGGAAUAUUGCACAAUGGGCGCAAGCAUGAUGCAGCCAUGCCGCGUGUGUGAAGAAGGCCUUCGGAUUGUAAAGCACGUUCAGCGGGGAGGCGUGACUCGCAGAAGAAGCACCGGCUAACUCCGUGCCAGCAGCCGCGGUAAUAC